rnacentral:rRNA from 1 species
UCCUCAUGAUAAAAAAUAUGAGGUAAUUUCUGCCCUAUGUAACAAUAAAUGGCCGCAGUAUUAUGACUGUGCUAAGGUAGCAUAAUAAUUUGUCUUUUAAUUAAAGACUGGAAUGAAUGAAUAUUCAAAUAACCACUUUCUUACAAAAACCCAUAAAACUUAUACUUUAGGUGAAGAUACCUAAAUCCUAAAGAAGGACAAGAAGACCCUAUAGAGCUUUAAAUUUAUUUUUAGUUGGGGCGACUUUAGAAUUUACAUAACUUCUUAAAAAACUAAGAAACACUUUUCAAAUUUAUAACUAUAAAAUUAAGAACAAGCUACCUUAGGGUUAACAGGCUUAAAUUCUUUAAGAGUCCAUAUUGACAAGAUUUUUAGCACCUCGAUGUUGGCUUAGGGAAUCUAUUUAUUGCAAAAAAUAAAAAAAGAAGGUUUGUUCACCCUUUAAACUCCUACGUGAUCUGAGUUU